rnacentral:lncRNA from 10 species
GAGCGCUCCCCUCUCGCCGCUUGCCUCGCCCAGCGCAGCCCCGGCCGCUGGGCGCACCCGUCCCGUUCGUCCCCGGACGUUGCUCUCUACCCCGGGAACGUCGAGACUGGAGCGCCCGAACUGAGCCACCUUCGCGGACCCCGAGAGCGGCGGCGCGACUCACCGCGGAGGCGCCCGGACGCGUCAAGCCCAGCCCAAUAGGAAGCACCUGAUCCACACUCUUUCUAGCCCCAGGGAUGCUCAGGAAAGCAGCCUUUCUUUAGGGCUGUCAUCUGUUCUGGGGAUCUGUUGCUGUUUCUUGGGCCCACAGAAUACACUCCACACCUCGGGACUCCAUAAUAUUGGACAAGGCUGGAAGGCCCAUUUGGCUCCUGCAGCCUCUUAUGCAGGAGGACCUCCUGAGGCUUCGGGCAGGAGCUGGUGCACACCUGGAGGAGAGUGCUGGUGAAUGGCAGGUGUGUGCCUCAGUGUCCUUGCUGCCAGGGUGUCAGCCCUGCUUCACCACUGGCCGUUUGUCUCUGUCCCCUCCACUGGCCUCUUGAAGCACAGAGACCCUCCGGGUACUUUCCUUCCUCUGGGCUUCCACUCAUGCUAUUCCCUGCUCCCUUUUUCUACCUGGAGACCCCCAUUCCUCCUCCUCCUCUGCUGCCCUCACCUCCACCUGGGCCCUCCCAGCUCCCGGGAGAUGGCUGAACCCCACUCCCCACCCGCUAGUCAUCCUCUUCAGCGGUCCUCCCAGAGCUGUCCUCAGCAUGGCAGCCUCCACAGCCCCUGGGUGUCACCCCCGGUUUCGUGUCUGCCUCGGACUCCAGACCUGCCCCUCCCAGGCUGGCCCAGAUGGAUCCUCUACAGUGACUAACCCAAACCAGCACCAGGCAGGGACCCAAUAAACCUUUGUGAAUGGAGUAAA